rnacentral:rRNA from 1 species
UUUUUUAUAAAAAUAAUUUAUUUAUUUAAUGUGUUAGUAUUUAGUAAAAAUUAAUUUUUAGAUUUAUAGUUUAAUAGUAUUGUAAAAGAAUUAAUUAAAUUUGAAAAAGAAUAUUUUUAGUACCUUUUGUAUCAGGGUUGAUUAAAAUUUUUAAUUUUUUUUUAAUUUCUCAAAAUUUAUAGAGUUAAUUUUAUUAUUAAUUUAUUGUGUUAUAAAUAUUUAUAAAAUAAUAUUAGUUUUGAAAUUUAAUUCGUUAUAUUAUAUUUAGUUAUUUAAGAUUUAAAUUUAAUUUAUAAUUUUAAAAGUUAUAUUGAUUUUAUAUAUAAAUAUUUUAAAUUUGAAUUAUUUUAGGGAUAAGCUUGAAAUUUUUAUAUAAUAAUUUAUUUAUUUUAAUAAUUUAUAGGAAUAGAAAUUUUUAUUUUAAGUUUGUAAAAAUUUAUUAUUUAUUUAUUUUUAAUUUAUUAUAAAUUUAUUUAUUUUUUUUAUUAAAUUUUAUUAAUUAAUAUUUAAUUUUUAGUAAUAAUGAUUAAAUUAGUAUAAUUUAAAUUUAUAAAUUAUGAAUUCGGCAAAAAUUAUUUUCAUCUGUUUAACAAAAACAUUGUAUUAAGUUUUAUUUAAUAUAGGAUCUGCUCAAUGAUUUAUUAAAUAGCUGCAGUAUUUUGACUGUGCAAAGGUAGCAUAAUAAUUAGUCUUUUAAUUGAGGACUUGUAUGAAAGAUUUGAUGAGAAAUAAACUUUAUUAUUUAUAAAAUUAAAAUUUUAUUUUUAAGUAAAAAAGCUUAAAUUAUUUAAAGGGACGAUAAGACCCUAUAAAACUUUAUAAAUAUUAAUUUUAAUUUUUUUGGAUUAAUAAAUAUUUUAUUUUUAUUAUUUAUUUUAUUGGGGUGAUAAAAAAAUUUAUUAAACUUUUUUUAAAAUUUUACAUUAUUUAAUGAAUAUUUGAAUUAAAAUUUUUAAUUAAAGGAAAAAGUUACUUUAGGGAUAACAGCGUAAUUAGUUUUUUAAGUUCAAAUUUAAAAAUUAGUUUGCGACCUCGAUGUUGAAUUAAGAUUAAUCUUAGGUGCAAAAUUUUAAGUAUUAGGUCUGUUCGACC